AGAGAUUGAACUGAAGAGUUUGAUCCUGGCUCAGAUUGAACGCUGGCGGCAUGCCUUACACAUGCAAGUCGAACGGCAGCACGGAGCUUGCUCCUGGUGGCGAGUGGCGAACGGGUGAGUAAUAUAUCGGAACGUGCCCUAGAGUGGGGGAUAACUAGUCGAAAGAUUAGCUAAUACCGCAUACGAUCUACGGAUGAAAGUGGGGGAUCGCAAGACCUCAUGCUCAUGGAGCGGCCGAUAUCUGAUUAGCUAGUUGGUGGGGUAAAAGCUCACCAAGGCGACGAUCAGUAGCUGGUCUGAGAGGACGACCAGCCACACUGGAACUGAGACACGGUCCAGACUCCUACGGGAGGCAGCAGUGGGGAAUUUUGGACAAUGGGCGCAAGCCUGAUCCAGCAAUGCCGCGUGAGUGAAGAAGGCCUUCGGGUUGUAAAGCUCUUUUGUCAGGGAAGAAACGGUCUUGGUUAAUACCUGGGGCUAAUGACGGUACCUGAAGAAUAAGCACCGGCUAACUACGUGCCAGCAGCCGCGGUAAUACGUAGGGUGCAAGCGUUAAUCGGAAUUACUGGGCGUAAAGCGUGCGCAGGCGGUUAUACAAGACAGAUGUGAAAUCCCCGGGCUCAACCUGGGAAUUGCAUUUGUGACUGUAUGGCUAGAGUGUGUCAGAGGGGGGUAGAAUUCCACGUGUAGCAGUGAAAUGCGUAGAUAUGUGGAGGAAUACCGAUGGCGAAGGCAGCCCCCUGGGAUAACACUGACGCUCAUGCACGAAAGCGUGGGGAGCAAACAGGAUUAGAUACCCUGGUAGUCCACGCCCUAAACGAUGUCUACUAGUUGUCGGGUCUUAAUUGACUUGGUAACGCAGCUAACGCGUGAAGUAGACCGCCUGGGGAGUACGGUCGCAAGAUUAAAACUCAAAGGAAUUGACGGGGACCCGCACAAGCGGUGGAUGAUGUGGAUUAAUUCGAUGCAACGCGAAAAACCUUACCUACCCUUGACAUGUACGGAAUCCUGAAGAGAUUUAGGAGUGCUCGAAAGAGAACCGUAACACAGGUGCUGCAUGGCUGUCGUCAGCUCGUGUCGUGAGAUGUUGGGUUAAGUCCCGCAACGAGCGCAACCCUUGUCAUUAGUUGCUACGAAAGGGCACUCUAAUGAGACUGCCGGUGACAAACCGGAGGAAGGUGGGGAUGACGUCAAGUCCUCAUGGCCCUUAUGGGUAGGGCUUCACACGUCAUACAAUGGUACAUACAGAGGGCCGCCAACCCGCGAGGGGGAGCUAAUCCCAGAAAGUGUAUCGUAGUCCGGAUUGGAGUCUGCAACUCGACUCCAUGAAGUUGGAAUCGCUAGUAAUCGCGGAUCAGCAUGUCGCGGUGAAUACGUUCCCGGGUCUUGUACACACCGCCCGUCACACCAUGGGAGCGGGUUCUGCCAGAAGUAGUUAGCCUAACCGCAAGGAGGGCGAUUACCACGGCAGGGUUCGUGACUGGGGUGAAGUCGUAACAAGGUAGCCGUAUCGGAAGGUGCGGCUGGAUCACCUCCUUUCU
rnacentral:rRNA from 1 species